rnacentral:tRNA from 4 species
GGUUCGGUAGUUCAGUUGGUUAGAAUGCCGCCCUGUCACGGCGGAGGUCGCGGGUUCGAGUCCCGUCCGGACCGC